UACGUAGGGAGCAAGCGUUGUCCGGAUUUACUGGGUGUAAAGGGUGCGUAGGCGGCCCUGCAAGUCAGAAGUGAAAUCCAUGGGCUUAACCCGUGAACUGCUUUUGAAACUGUAGGGCUUGAGUGAAGUAGAGGCAGGCGGAAUUCCCGGUGUAGCGGUGAAAUGCGUAGAGAUCGGGAGGAACACCAGUGGCGAAGGCGGCCUGCCGGCCCCACACUGACGCUGAGGCACGAAAGCGUGGGUAUCGAACAGG
rnacentral:rRNA from 1 species